AUUUUAAAUUAAAGAUUAAUGGGAUUAAAUGUAGACGAUUGGUAACUGGUUAAUAUUACAGUAGAGCUGGUGAGACUUUUAUUUUGACAUGCUUUUGCCCUCGGUUGAGAGUUACGGUGGCCCGUAUUGUGUGUUAGUAAGAGGCUACAGACGGCGGACUCUGAUUAUAAGAGGAGAGAAUCUCAGUAAACAGGGAUGGCGGAACCCGUAAAAGCCUAUACAAGAAAACUCAAACCCCGUUUGUCGAAUAAGGAGCGUUUUCACUGCGUCACUGCAGAGAUCAACAUCGAACAGUACCCAACUUUAAAAGAGUGGCUUCCGAUGCAGCAUGAUUAUCACGUCUGUGACUACAAUGCCAUAAGACAGAAUCAGGAUCACAUCGACUUUUCCACCACACUAAGAAUGGCUCUGUCUACUGUUGAAGAAAUUCAGCAGUUUGUUAAAGACCUGCCCAUCACCUGGAGGAUUGAUAGAACCAGACCACCUAAAGGACAACGAGUUCUUUUUAAGGUGGAUUAUAGAUGCCACCACAACACAAAACCAAGGAAAAGUAUGGAAGGUUCUGGAAGACGGACAAAAAACACAAACUGCCCUGCAAAAAUGGCUGUAACUCUUCAGCGCCCGCAGGGAAGCAAUGGCAGGCAAUGUCGAAGCACAGAUCCACACAUGCCAGUGCUUCCGACAAUAGUGCACAUUGUUAAUGAGCACAAUCACAACUUACAUGUAGGGGAUGCUUUGCGAUACAAGGACGUUGGAGAAGAGGCCAUACAGAAGCUGAAGAAGCUUUUUGAGGCUGGACAUUCGCCGUCUACAGCACUGGAUGUGUUAAAAUAUGACCUCCAGCUCGAACAUGGAGAUGGAUAUCCAAAUGCAGCAGCUGAUCGAUCUAUCUGUCCUGAUCUUCAGUUCUGCUACAGAUUGUACCACCAAGUUUCUAAACAGGAUUUUCCAGCAUGUGAUGGGGCAGGGGUGGCAGAGGCUUUGGAGAGGCAAAUUGACAUGUACAAUAACCAGUGCAGGGAGCAGUGCACCAAGCUCACCACUGUGACAGACAGUCUACCGUCCACUAUUUCCGCCCUUCCUCCCAACCCGGACCCGAUGGAAUCCUCCCCGCCAGCGGUAGAUGACACUACACAGACGUGUGUGAUGGAGCAGGAGGUGACCAAGGCAGUAGAAGGUACUGUGUGUACUAUGAGAAUAAUAAAAAAGUCAAAUGUUCUUAAAAAUUUAUUUGUAGCAUUUAAAGAAUCAUGUUUAUGAAAGUUAGUUACAUGCAUUUUAAUUUUAAGUUAUGAUUAUGCUUCUUCUCCUCCGUGAAUCUUAAGUAAAUUUUCACGAGAUGGUCAGUUAAAAGCUGACAAAAUUACAAUGAAAAAAUAUUGAAUUAUCACUUAUUAUACAUUUUUAAAAUGAAAAGAAUAUUCCAUAUAAAUUAUACAGUCCUUUUGACCUUUUCUUUAGUUUAUUGCUCUUUAAAUCAGUGCAAUUGCAUUCUAACACUAUAACAUUGUUUCAUUUUUAUAUCAUUAUUAUUUUAUUCAUUAAAUGAAUUAUUAAUCAAAAUGUCAGCAAUACUAUAUAUCAUCGUCAUUUUUGAGCCAGUACAUUGACAAAAACAUUUUAUUGUGACAGGCAAAGAUGUCAAAAUAAUUCCUGUUCAUUACUCAAGUACAAGUAUAGAUUCUAGGGAUUAAAAAUACUUAAAAUAAAAGUUCAAAUUACAAAAACUCA
ensembl:lncRNA